CGGUGACGAGAGAAUUAUUGUGUUCACAACAAAUCACAAGGAUCGGCUUGAGCCUGCACUGUUGCGUCCUGGUCGAAUGGACGUCCACAUUCACAUGUCGUAUUGCACUCCACAUGCGUUUAGGGUCUUGGCCUCCAACUACCUUGGCAUUCAAGACUUGAAUCAUCAUGGCCUUUACGGAGAAAUCACAGGCUUGCUAGAGAGCACAGAGGUCACCCCUGCUGAGGUCUGUGAGCAACUGUUGAAGAGAGAUGAUGAUGUUGACGACGAUGAUGCUGAUGCUGCUCUUGCUGGACUUGUCAACUUUCUCAAACUCAAGAAGCUUGAAGAGACUAAUAAUAUUGAUAAACCAGAAACUCAAGAAGGAUCUCAAUGUUAAUGAUGAUGACGGUGACAACUCCUCCACCUAGCAUGAGCUAGGGCAGUAGAAUAAGUUGGUGUCAUUUGUCCCAUCUGAUUAUGAAGUAAUGUAUGGUUAUAUUCAGACUCUUCCCUUUUUUUUCUUUCUUAAUUAUAGCGUACCUACCAAAGUAGAGAAAUUAUGUGGAAAAAGACCUGCAAACAGAGACCUUGACUUUUGGUCAACAAGGAAGGCAAAGAGAAGCGACCACCAGCAUUUGAUGGAAAUUUCUGUUCUUAUACGACUUCUAACAAGUCUCGUUGACUUAGGGUCCCUUUUUGGGGUUGACACGUAAUUGUGACCAUAAGGAAAAUUCUACCAUGUUGCAUUUUCUGAAACGAAAUCCAUACCAAAUGAUCUUUCUGAACCUCUUAACUAUACCUCUGCAGAAGUCUUGGCAAUCUUGCUCUGAUCAAACAUGAUCCAAUGGUGUGCAGAGAAAAUUACAAAAGUGACAAACGUAAUAAGUUUCACUUCCCCCUGGCUCAAUUCUACUUUUUUCUUACAUCCUUAAUCAACCAAUGCAAAUAUAUUCCAUUCCUUAUCAGUUGUCCCAUUAAUAUAUUUAUGAAAUACCAUAUCAGUUUGCAAACAUUUUUAGAUUUGGUUGAGCUUGAGACAUGGUUGUUCAAGGGAAUAAGGGGAUUGAGAAUUGUUGAUUUUCAAGUAGGAGUUGGAGACGGUGUUGUUCAACCUCACAACUUAAUAAGCAUAUAUACUUCCACAAUCAACGCCACCUCACUCGAUCAACACUUGAUUUCGUUGAAUUAAACUAAUUUCUCUUGUAUUAAGAUACCAAGUUGACAACUCCUAAAUUAUCUUCUAAGUUUAUUGCCCUGCUAGCACUUGGUAUCGAUUCGAAGUUGCUAGGCUAGUUUAUUUUCCUAAAAUCGGUUCAUCAGUCUGUCAAUUCCUCACUUACUUUCUAUGUAAGUUAUUGUUUAUAAUUAAUUGAAUCGAGAAAUCUUCUGUUUAUUUGUGAAUUUUUAUUUUUAGAAAAAUUCCAUGUAUGAGGUUAAGUGCAUCUCUUAAUUAGAACAUCUAUAGUGGGGUGAUGUAUAAUAGGAUGUAUGUUAAAUAUACACCCGUUAUGAUCGGAAUUACUCGUAAUAAGGGUGUAAAUAAAUGUAUAAUUACAUCACCACCAUGAGAUGUAAAUUUAGAUGCAAUUGUACAUAUUUUUUUACAUUCCCAUUGCGGAUGGAACCCAACUGAAAAAAAAAGAGGAAAAAUAGAGAAAAGUCAGAAUAAAAAGGUGGGACCCAGCUAACAACAAUGGUGCAUGCAACGGUAUGGCUCGAUUUUGUCCUCAUCCCAUUUCUUCCUUUUUUUAAUUCAACUUGUUUCCACGGUCUCUCCCAUCUCUCUACUUUUGAUAUUUAUUUAUAAUUUCAUAUAUAUAUAUAUAUAUAUAAUUAAAUUAAUAAUUUACUUACUUUCCAACCUUAAGACGGAGACUCGGUAUAGAGAAAUUAUUGUAUGAUAUCGUAUCAUCACUUCAAUUGAUGAUACUUCCGUUUAUCUUUCAUAGAAGAUUAUAACCUUUUUUUUAAAGCAUAAUUAAAAACAUCAAUUUCACCUUUUUGAAUAAACUUUUUUAAAAAGCUUUAAUUGUUUUAGAAAAUGACAUAUUGCACAUUUUUAGAUUAAAUGUACUUUACAAUCCAACGAUUCUUUUUUAAUGAAAUUAUAUUUUCUCCAAAUUCAAAUAUUUUUAGGUCUAUUUGUUUGAAAAAAUAAAAUUAACCUAAUACAAAAAAAAAAUUAAUUUUAUAAAGUAAACACAAAAUAUAAAUUUAACACAAAAACAAAUUAAGACAAACAAAUCAAUUAUACAUCUUUAGAUUUACUUCGUUUUUUAUUGGAGAAAAAAACGUAUUUACACUUCCCGAAUGUGUAAAGGAGAUAUAAAAGUGUCUUUACACCCCCGAAAAUACACCUCCUACUGUAGAAGCUCUUAGGUAUUUGAUAAUUUUUUGAUUUUGUGUUAUGUUGACAUUUGCAGUUCACACUCUCGGGCCUACUAAACUUCAUGGAUGGUCUGUGGUCAAGUUGCGGUGAUGAAAGAAUUAUUGUGUUCACAACAAACCACAAGGAUGACGAUGAUGAUGCUGCUCUUGUAAGAGUUGUCAAGGUCACCCCUGCUGAGAUUUGUGAGGAAGUACUGAAGAAAAAUGACGAGGACGAGGACGACGAUGAUGAUGCUGCUCUCGAAAGAGUUGUCGACCUUCUCAAACUUGAGAAGCUUGAAGGGACUAAUAAUAUUGAAAAGACAGAAAUGCAAGCAGAAAAAAGGCAGGAAAAUGGAUCUCAGGUGAAUGAUGAAAGUGACAACUCAUGCAUCCAACAUGAGCUAUAGCGAUCCCCUUUUAGAUAAGUCUUUUUGUUAUUAGUACUUUUGUAGGAAAAGAAAUCUGGAUGUCAAGUACUCUAAUCCCAGUUUUGUUUGGUGUCCUGUCAGGUGUUGUCCUAUUAUCCUAUCUGAUUAUGAUGUAAUCACUUUGGUUAUAUCGAUAAAUAAAGUAAGUAAUGGUAUGGUUAGUUCAAAUUCUAUUCAAACUCUAAUAUUAUUUUCUUUCACGAAUGUGCGCUAGCAACAUAUAUACAUAAGGUGGUGUGGUGUUUUUGUUGUUAAGAGGUAGAAAGAAAAUUUACUCGCACACACACAAGUGCCUAGAAAUUUCGAAUAUGAGAUGAUUGGUCUUAAGUCAAACAUACUUUUUCACUACGGUAUGAUCCUAUUAGCUUCAUACUCUCUUGUUUCACUCUAGAGUGCAAGUGGCUACUUUUGAAAUGAAAUAAUUAACAACAGUUACUUUCUUAAUUAUAUCAUAGUUUACUUACCAAAGUGGAGAAGAUUUAUAUUUUUUGUUGUACUUCUUCAUAGGUUUUGAAUUUUGAUGCAACCAGAAGCUUUUUGUGUGUGUUGUUGCAUGUGAAUGGCGGGAAAAGAAUGGCAACUGUGUGAAAUUGAUCAAGUUAAGAUCAAUCCGGUAUGAUUGAAAACAUCAAAGCCAUCAAAUUAGUCAUGGUCUGCUCUAGGUUUCUUUAUUCAUUUUGGCCUCAAAUAUUAAAUACAUGUGUUUAAAAAGCAAUAACAAUCUAAUCAAAUAACUCACCCAACCCAACUCCUACGUUCAACGUAUAGUCCUAACACAAUCAAAUGUUUUAUUGAAUAUUUAUCCAGAGACUUACCUAUAAACUAGGUCACCUAGCACACUAAAAAAAAAAACCACGUACAGUAAAAAAAAGAUAUCUAGCAUAAGGAGAAAUUCGACCAAAACAAAAAAAAAUAGCAUAAGGAGAAAAAAGAGGGACUAUUGUCAACUAAACGACAAUAACCUACACAAAACACAAUGCACGCGGUUUUGACUGGUGGUGUACAAGUAGACUUCUUUGUCGAUCUUGCCAUGUGCAAUUGUCUGUGGCUGUGGUUUCACUAGUACUGUAUAUGAAUUUACCCCCCAAGUAACAAACCUCAAAUAUAUAUCCCCAAAUUUGAUUAAAAAAUCCCCCAACAAGAACAUCUCCUUCUUCUUCUUCUUCUUCUUCUUCUUCUUCUCAACCUCUGCCUUGCUUACCUUGCAUCCAUCCAUCCGCCAUGAAUUUCAUCGUGGAGGAACUCAUGCUUUUCAUUUCCACUGCCCUCAAUUACCUUGCUACCCUUUUCUCCCCUGGCCAUUAUCAUCAUGACCUCACUUUCAUCAUCCGCCAGAAGAGCACGCCACCCAACCAAGUCUACGACGCCGCCGAGCUCUACCUCCCAUCCAUCGAGUUGAUCAAUCCCUCCACUCGUACUAUCGGCGUCAGCAAAACACCGCGGCAAGAAGCCGUCAAGCUUGCCAUGGAAAGCGGUGAGCAGAUCGCCGACACCUUUGAGGACAUUAACCUCAACUGGCUCUACGUGGUCCAAACAUUCCCGAGCGGCCAGGUAACACGUCGCUUCGAGCUAACCUUCCACAAGAAACACAAAGACAAAGUCCUGACCUCCUACUUGCGCCAUGUGGUUACUCGGGCUGAAGCCAUUAAAAAAGAGGAAAAGAUUCUCAAACUUCGUAGCGUUAACUCACCAUCACGAGUGGAUCUGGAGCACCCAGCCACGUUCGAGACGAUCGCCAUGGGGCCCGACCAGAAGACAAAGAUUAUAAAGGACUUGGACAGGUUUGUGAGGAGGAGGGAGUUUUAUAAGAAGGUGGGCAAGGCUUGGAAAAGAGGCUACUUAUUGUAUGGCCCUCCUGGGACUGGCAAAUCCAGCUUGAUUGCAGCCAUGGCUAAUCAUCUCAAGUUUGACGUGUAUGAAUUGGAGCUUGAUGGUAUUUACAGUGACUCUCAAUUGAAGAGCGUGUUACUGUCCACUGCAAAUCGUUCUAUUUUGGUCAUUGAGGAUAUUGAUUUCAGCGCCGUUAAUGCGCGAAAACGAAAGUGCGGGGUUAGUACCUACCUAUACCUACCUAAAUUUUUCUGUGAAUUAGGUGUUCGAUAAUUUUUGGUUUAUUUUUUGGUGUAACAUAGUAAAAAUUUAAUUACUAUGCUGAUAUUUGCAGAUCACGGUCUCAGGCCUGCUAAACUUCAUGGAUGGUCUGUGGUCGAGCUGCGGUGACGAGAGAAUUAUUGUGUUCACAACAAACCACAAGGAUCGGCUUGAGCCUGCAUUACUGCGUCCUGGUCGAAUGGACGUCCACAUUCACAUGUCCUAUUGCACUCCGCAUGCGUUUAAGGUUUUGGCCUCCAACUACCUUGGUGUUCAGGACUUGGACCGUCAUCCUCUUUAUGGAGAAAUCGCGGGGUUGCUAGAGAGCACAGAGGUCGCCCCUGCUGAGGUUUGUGAGGAGCUAUUGAAGAGAGAUGAUGAUGUUGACGAUGAUGAUGUUGAUGCUGCUCUCGAAGGAGUUGUCAAAUUUCUCAAACUCAAGAAGCUUGAAGGGGAUAAUAAUAAUAUUGAUGAACCAGAAUUUCAAGAAGGAAAAAGGCAGGAUGUGGAUGUCAGUGUUAACGAUGACGACAGUGAGAGCUCAAGCACCUGAAAUAAUCGACCAUAGCUUUAUCUAGCUAGGCAGUAGAAUAAGUUGCAUCUUCCGAUGGCCUAGCUAGUCCCUUUGGCUUUAAGUACUUUUGUCUUUGAGUUUAAGUACUUUUGUAUUUGGUUUUGUUUGGUGUUAUGUUUCUCCUUUCUGUUUGGCUAUCCUUGCGGGGUGCUAUGCUAUCCUUGUUAUGGUUAUUAUAUGUCCUCGUCUCGCUCUCCUUCUAGCAGAAUUGAUAGGGGUAGAUGGUCCUGGUAUUUAUCCAGAAAAUUUGGUGGGCCGAAAAUGAAAUUUCACAUGUUGAGAUUUACACAAUUUGCAUAUUUUUAUAGAAUUUGAGCUCGGAAUUUUGGAUUGUGAAAUCCCCUAAUAUUGCUCGCAUGCAAUUUGCAAAAUACUGAGUUGAUAGUAUUGGAAAUGCUGCAAAAUGCUCCGUUUUCCAUGAGUGAAAUCCCGAUUUCUGCUCAUAUCCCAUCUUUUUCCCCUCAUCCAAACACUGGCUGCUAUUUGAAAUGCAAUAAUCCAAAGUGGAGAAAUUAUGUGGAAGAAGUCGUCUUCGUCCCUAUUGCUAUGCAAAUGUGUAUGGCCGACCAGCAUGCACAUGUCCAUUUGGCUUUUUGUGGUUCCAUGUCUUUUGCAAGGGAUUGUGGGGUCUACCCAAACCUGAAUUUUUUUUCUUCUUUUUGUUCUUGCAAAUCAAGCAACCUCAACUAUAUAUAUAACCAAAUUUUGAUAGAAACAAAAAAAAAAUCCACCCAACAGGAGCAUCCUCCUUCUUCUCAACCUCUGCCUCCCUUGCCUUGCAUCCAUCCAUCCGCCAUGAAUUAUCAUCAUGGCCUUACUUUGAUCAUCCGCGAGGAGGGCUCGCCAUCCAACCAAGUCUACGACGCCGCCCACCUCUACCUCCCAAGCAUUCAAUUGAUCAAUCCCUCCACUCGGACCAUCGGAGUCACCAAAACACCGCGCAGAGAAACGGUCAAGCUCGCCAUUGAAAGCGGUGAGCAAGUCCCCGACACCUUUGACUGCAUUGACCUGAACUGGCUUUACGUGGUCGAAAAAUGUCCGGACGGCUGUGUUGAACGUCGCUUUGAGCUGACGUUUCAAAAGGAACACAAAGACAAAGUCAUGACCUUCUACUUGGCCUAUGUUGUUCGUCGCGCCGAAGUCAUUAAACAAGAGAGCAAGAUUCUCAACCUCCGCAAAGUUAACUCAUACGACCAAGUCGAAUUCGAGCACCCGGCUACGUUUGAGACGAUAGCCAUGGAGCCCGGCCUAAAGCGAAAGAUUAUAAAGGAUUUGGAGAGGUUUGUGAGCAGGAGGGAGUUUUAUAAGAAGGUGGGCAAGGCUUGGAAAAGAGGCUACUUGUUGUAUGGCCCACCUGGCACUGGAAAAUCCAGCUUGAUUGCAGCCAUAGCUAAUUAUCUCAAGUUUGAUGUGUUUGAAUUGGAGCUUGAUGCUAUUGACAGUGACUCUGGGUUGAAGAAGGCGUUGCUUUCCACUACAAAUCGUUCCAUUUUGGUGAUUGAGGAUAUUGAUUGUUCCGUCAAUAAAGAUAAGGAAAACCGGGUCAGUACCUACUCUUUGUUUGUAAAAUUUUAUACUAAGCGACACCGGGGAAUCGAAUCUAGAAACUUGGAUCCUGCGCUGAAUUUUUAUUUUUAUUAAUUAGUAUAUUUGAUAGUUUUGUGAUUUUGUUCUGUAAAUAAUAAAGAUUAAUAUUAUAUGUUGAUAUUUGCAUGCAUGCAGUUCACACUGUCAGGCCUACUAAACUUCAUGGAUGGUUUGUGGUCAAGUUGCGGAGAUGAGAGAAUUAUUGUGUUCACAACAAACCACAAGGAUCGGCUUGACCCUGCAUUGUUGCGUCCUGGCAGAAUGGAUGUCCACAUUUACAUGGGUUAUUGCACCCCAAGUGCGUUUAAGGUUUUGGCCUCCAACUACCUUGGCAUUCCUGACUUGGACGGUCAUGGCCUUUACGGAGAAAUCGUAGGCUUGCUAGAGAGCACAAAGGUUACCCCUGCUGAGAUUUGUGAGGAACUACUGAAGACAAAUGAUGAGGAUGAUGAUGAAGAUGCUGAUGCUGCUCUCGAAAGACUUGUCGACUUUUUCAAACUCAAGAAGCUUGAAGGUGAUAAACCCGAAAUUGAAGAGGCAAAAAAGCAGAAAAUGGAUGUCGAUGUUAAUAAUGUUAAUAUUUUCAAGAGAGAAACUGAAGAAGAAAGAAGGGAGGAAAUGGAUGUCAAAGUGAAUGAUGACAUAGAAAAUAAAUGAUGGUGAUAUAUAGAUGCUGGAAAGUGUUUGGUAGCAAAAAUCAGUUGUAUAAUAUAUAUGUAUUAAUUAAUCUUCUUCAUUAUAAUGGAAAAAGGUUGAAUUAAUCAUUCCAUGGUUAAUUGUGGUAAGGUAGUCGAGAAAAAGGGAGGCAAAGAGAAGCGAACAAAUGAAGGUACUGGGCGUGAAAUUUCUGUGCAACCAAAUGAAGGCUUUUUUUGUUUGUUGCGCAUGUAAAUGGUUAGAAAAGAGUCAAGCAUGAUCAUGAUUCAUGAUUCAUGAUAGGAGAAAACUAGUACCCACCCCGCCUCCUACGUUCACUUCACAUGAUCAUGAUUCAUGAUAGGAGAAAAAGAGUCAAGCAUUUGUAUUGUUAUUGUACCAAAAAUAAUCAAUCAAAUAUUUAUCCAAAACACGAGGAAAGGGAUUGUGUGCACGCGGUUUUGGGUCUAAACUUGCAAAUUAAGCCACCCCUCACGUAAAUAUCCCCUACUUUGAUCCAAUUUCAAUUUGUAAAAGAUGUGACUAGAGAAAGUCAAAUAUAAGGAUAUAUGGUGAAUUUCUGAUAUAUUAUUUUUCUCUUAGAGGAGGUGUAUAUAUAUAGUGUACAAUGUCUUUUUACCCAAGGAAAAGAUAAAAGUUAAUCCUAAUAGAACAAGUAAUACAAUAUUUACAAGAAUCUUUAUAUUAAUUUCCUAUCUAAAAUAGGACUCACGCCAACACUCCCCCUCAAGUUGAUGCGUAGAUGUCACCAAUGCCCAACUUGUCAAGUGAGUCACUAAAUACAUGGCUAGACACUGCUUUAGUCAAAAUAUCUGCAAGUUGUUCCUCUGAUUUCACAUGUGGUACACUAAUCACAUUGCUUUCCAAUUUUUCAUUAAUAAAAUGUCUAUCAAUCUCCACAUGUUUGGUACGAUCAUGUUGGACUGGAUUAUUAGCUAUGUCGAUUGCAGCUUGAUUAUCACAAUACAAUUUCAUGGCAUCUUUAGCCACGAAGCCCAAUUCCUUUAAUAAUUUCCGAAUCCACAACAUCUCACAUACGCCAUGAACCAUGCUUUGAUACUUAGCUUCCGCACUGGACAAAGAACAAACCUUCUGUUUCUUGCUUCGCCAAGUAACAAGGUUACCACCCACAAAUGUAAAAUAACCUGAUGUUGAACGCCUAUCAGUUCGAUUUCCUGCCCAAUCGGCAUCUGUAAAACCUUCAAUUUCCCAAUUUCCAUGUUUUGAGAACAUCAGCCCUUUGCCAGGUGCAGACUUUAGAUACUGUAAAAUUCGCAUAACUGCUUCCAUAUGAACUUCACUAGGCGAAUGUAUAAAUUGACUCACAACACUAACAGCAUAAGCAAUAUCUGGCUUGGUGUGAGAUAAAUAAAUAAGUCUUCCAACUAACCUCUGAUAUCUGUCUUUAUUAGUUGGAACUUGAUCUGGAAGAAUCUCAAGAUUAUGGUUCUGCACAAUAGGAGUAUCAGCAGGUUUACACCCAAGCAUCCCAGUUUCAUUCAAUAAAUCUAACACAUAUUUUCUUUGUGACAAGAAAAUACCAUGUUGAGAUCUAGCCACUUCAAUUCCCAAAAAAUAUUUCAACCCUCCAAGAUCCUUCAUCUCAAACUCAGUUGAUAAAUAAUGUUUCAAUUUAUCAAUCUCUUCUGUAUCAUCACCUGUUAUUAUCAUAUCAUCAACAUAUAUAAUUAAAACAGUGAUCUUCCCUUUCCUCCUCUUCAGAAACAAAGUAUGAUCUGCAUUGCUUUGACGAUAACCGUAUUUCUUCAUGGCAUAACUGAAUUUGCCAAACCAAGCUCUAGGAGACUGCUUCAACCCAUAGAGUGACUUCCUCAACUUGCACACCAAAUUUGGAUUUUCAGAUAGAUCAAAUCCUGGAGGUAGGCUCAUAUAAACUUCUUCCUUCAAUUCUCCAUGUAGGAAAGCAUUUUUCACAUCAAAUUGUUGGAGUGGCCAAUCUAAAUUUGCUGCAAGCGAUAUUAGAACACGAACUGUGUUUAUUUUUGCAACUGGUGCAAAAGUUUCCUAAUAAUCAACACCAUAUGUCUGAGUAUAUCCUUUGGCAACCAAUCUCGCCUUGUAUCUAUCAAUGGUACCAUCUACCUUGUGUUUAAUUGUGAAAAUCCAUCUGCAUCCAACUGGUCGUUUUCCUUGUGGCAAUGAAACUAAAUCCCAAGUUUGAUUUUUUUUCAAAGCCAACAUCUCUUCAUCCAUAGCUUUCUUCCAUUGAGGAGCAGCCAAAGCAUCUUGCACUUUAGAUGGAAUAAAUUCAGUUGUCAUAUGAUUAGCAAAAACUGCACAUGCUUCAGAUAAUCGAUGAGUAGAGACAUAGUUUGCAAUUGGGUAGUUCGACUUCUUUAAAUUUUCAGGUGAAAAACGAUCUGGUGGAAUUCCUCUAUUACGUCUGGGAGGCAAUUGAUACCUUGUUUCUGCAACACUAUCAAUAUCAUUUGUAAUUAAAUUGUCAGUAUUAAUCAAAUUUGGUUAUGUACUUACCUCAGGGUUAUUCGAAGCCUCAGGAAUUUGGACAAGUACUGUUGGUGUAGAAGAGGGAGAACAAUUAUGUGGGAUAUGUGGAGUUGCAGGGAACAAAGUGGGGUUAGCAACAUGUGACGCCAGGUCCUCAACGGACGUGACUGCAUUUUCUUUUUCAUUGCAGAUCACUUCUUCUCUUUCUAUGAUAAUAUCAGGUAACAUAAUUGUCCAAUUCCAAUUCUGCUCUUCAAUAUUCUCAUUCUCCCCCUGAAGAGGAGGGUUGGAUUCAUGAUGAAAUACAUGGACAAGUCUGAGAAAGUGAUAUCCAUUGUGACAUACGUACGCUUUGUCGGAGGAUGGUAGCAUCGAUAUCCUUUGGAAUAUGGGGAGAAACCCACAAACACACAUUUAAGAGCACAUGGAUCCAAUUUAGACCGUAGGUGUUUAAGGAUGUGAACGUAGGCUAUACAACCAAAACUACGGGGAUGGAGAGUCAGGACUGACGGUAGGGGAUGUGUCGAAGUCAAAACAUCCAGUGGUGUCUUGUAUCCAUGGACAGAAGAGGGCAUACGAUUUAAUAAAUACACUGCAUAUAAUAUAGCAUCACUCCAAAACAUCUUAGGCAUAUGAGCUUCUAUCAAAAUACUCAUGGCCGUCUCAAGAAUAUGAUGAUUUUUCCGUUCAGCAACCCCAUUUUGUUGAGGGGUAUAGGGACAUGUAGUUUCAUGGAGAAGACCGUUAUCCUGAAAGAAAGACACAAAAUCAUGACUCACAUAUUCACCUCCAUUAUCUGAUUGCAGAAACUGAAUUUUUUUGGAGAAUUGUGUCUGAACCAUCUGAUAAAAUUGCUUGAAGAGACCAAAAACCUCACUUUUAUUUUUCAUAAAAUAUAUCCAUGUCAUUCUCGUAUAAUUAUCAACGAAAGUCACAAACCAUCUAAUGCCAGAGAUUGUAGAGACUGGGGAAGGACCCCAUACAUCAGAAUGAAUAAGAGCAAAAGGUUUAUCAUUCUUAUUGAAACUAAUAGGGUAUGAAACACGGUGACUCUUGGCAAGAAUACAAGUUUCACACUGAAGACUAGAAAUAUCGAAAUCCAAAAAUAAAGCUGGAAAUAAAUGUUUUAAAUAACCAAAAGAAGCAUGUCCUAAACGCCAAUGCCAUAACCAAAUUUGUAUCUUCUUGUCUGCAGCUGAGUCAUGAGCAAUAAGGGCCUUUCCCGUGCAAACAUCAUCCACAUAAUAUAGUCCUCCUCUCUUAGUACCACGCCCAAUUAUUUCCUGGGUUCGAAUAUCCUGAAGAAGGCAAAACAAGGGAUGGAUUAAUACAAAACAAUUUAAUUGUUCAGUCACUUGUCCAACAGAUAAUAAAUUCUGAGAUAAAGAAGGAACAAGAAGAACAUGUUCCAAAGUUAAAUUUGGAGAAAGAUCAACUGUGCCUGCCCCAAUCACAGGGUAGGAUUGGUCAUUCGCAUUCGCCAUACUAGUAAGGCUAGGAGUAGUACGAGUCUUCAAAUUUGUCGAGUCAAAUGUCAUGUGAUUUGAAGCACCUGAAUCAAUAAUCCAACCAGAACCAAUACCUAAGCCAGUAGCAGCAGCAAAAGCACUAUCUGAUGUAUUAGAAGAAGUGCCCGAAUCACCUGUAGGGAGGGCGACAAAACCUGGAGGAACAAUGGAGGAGGAGACAGAUGGCAUAUGGGAAGCUUGUGGGACAGAAGGGUCGGGAGAUCCUAUGCAGAGUGCGACCUUGCCUUGUGCGUAUCGUUCAGCGGCUACUUUGGCCUUGUUACGCUCCUUGACUUCAUCCCACCAUUCUGGAUAGCCAUGUAAUUUAAAACAAUCAGUUACAAAGUGAUUCGUGCUAUUGCAAUGAGUACACCUUUCGCCAUUUUGAGGUUUAACUCGUUGUGGACCAUUGGGUCUUGUAGAACCUGUAGGUCCAUUAGCUGUAGAACCUACAGGUUUGUAGGAAGAGGCAGGCAUAGAGUGCCUUGUAGGUCCAUUAAUUGUAGAAUCAACAGGUUUGUAGGAAGAGGCAGGCCUGGAGUUCCUUGCUACCAUAGCAACUCCAGUGUUCACCGGGGUUGGUGGUACCAUCAUGGUGGAUCGCCGCUGGUCUUCUCGUCUGACACAUGAAAAAGCUCUCUCCAAAUUCGAAAACGGAUCCAUGCGAAGAAUAUCGCUACGAACUCUGUCAAACACAUCAUCUAAUCCAGCUAAAAAUACAUAAACCCUAUCAAUUUCAAUCUCCUGUUGACGAAGCAAAAUAUCUGAUGAAUUAGUAAAUUUAUUUGGUCGUCAAUAAUCAAUCUCAUGCCAAAUACUUUGCAAUUCUGCAUAGUAUGUGACAAGUUGUCGUCCAGACUGUUACGCCUUGAAUGCCCGACAAGUUAGCUCAUAAAUCUGUGACUGAUCUUGGCCAUCAUAGUAUGUUUUUUUAACAUUCUCCCAUACAUCUUUGGCAGUUUUGUAGGGAAGGAAAAUUUGCAUAAUAUCAGGCUCCAUAGAUUGAAUCAGCCAUCCCUUCACAAUUGCGUUUUCAGCAUACCACUUAUUGUAAUUAGAGUCUGCCAGAGCUGGUGCAGCAGAAGCGCCUGUCAGAUACCCAUAUUUUCUCUUCCCAGCAACAUGUAACUCAAGCAGUUGGGACCAUACUGAAUAAUUUGUUCCAUUCAAUUUAACAAUUGUAGGAGCAGCGGAAGAAUCAUGAUGAACAUUGACAAUUGACAUAGGCUGACCAGAACCCCCUGAGGUAAUUUGUGGUACCUCAUUGGAUUGGCCAUCUUCAUUAAACAAAUCCUGCAUAUCCCCCAUGGAGCCAAAUAACACGGCAAGAAUUAAAACAAAAUAAUAGGCAAAAAGGAAAAAAUCUGUAGCAGUAAGGGAGGUAUGCUAUUCUAAGGCAAAUAUAAACCUGGCUCUGAUACCAAGUCAAAUAUAAGGAUAUAUGGUGAAUUUCUGAUAUAUUAUUUUUCUCUCAAAGGAAGUGUAUAUAUAGUGUACAAAUCUUUUUACCCAAGGAAAAGAUAAAAGCUAAUCCUAAUAGAACAAGUAAUACAAUAUUUACAAGAACCUUUAUAUUAAUUUCCUAUCUAAAAUAGGACUCACGCCAAUAGAGAAGGUGCAUGUAUACAUUUUGACUGAUAAAAAGGCUACAGUCAAGACCAAUAGGGCGUUGUGGCUCAAGUUUUUGGUGUGCUCUCAAGUGAUCUAAGUUUAAGUCUCAUUGUACCUGUGCGUGUAAGUUUCUCAUUUCUUUUUCCGAACUUUGGCCCCAAAAAAAAAUAAAAACUAUAAUCAAGUGGUGUUGUCUUAACAAAAAUUUGGCAAAACAGUCGUUUCAAGAAUUUAUGUUGAUGGAUGUGAUCACGACAAUACUUCUUCAAAUGGUGAUGGUGAUAUAAUUCAUUUGAGCAUCUGGGUUGUUUUAGGAUUUCGACUAUAUUGAAUUCAUGGAAUUUAUUUGAGAUUAUACUUAAUUAUAUAAUGACGUGGACUAUUAAUUUUAGUAUGGUUUUUGUCGGUUUUGAUUUUGGUUUUAGAGACUUUGGUCAGAUUGGAAACCAGAAAAAAAGGCAGACUAACAAGAGGAAGGCAAGGAAGCAACCACGAACCAGCAGCUUAUGGGGUUUGAUGCAUGUCAAGGAUAUGGACCCACUCCACAGUGAAAACUUGCCGUCGAUGCAGGUGCAGCACGCGUAGGCACAAAUGCCCUGGAAAUUGUACUGGGCUAUGGCUAUCCCUCUGUCUUGUUUAUAUCAUACUUGGAGUUGUGGGGUCUACCCAAACGCUGUUGUGGGUCCAAAAACAGCUUGCAGAGUAAGCAACCUCUCAACUAUAUAUAUAUAUAUAUAUAUAUAGAAACGCCCCCACAACACCAUCCACACCUUGUUCUCAAGCUGUGCCUCUCUCUCUCUCUCUCUCUCUUUCUCUCUCUCUCUCUCCCCGUUGCUGCAUCGAUACAUCCGCCAUGAAUUUUAUCUUGGAGCUCCUGCUUCUCAUUUCCACUGCCCUCAAUUACCUUGCUACCCUUAUCUCCCCUCGUCAUGAUCUUCAUGAUCGUCAUGAGGACCUUACUUUCAUCAUUCGCCAGGACUACAGGCCACCCAACCAAGUCUACGACGCCGCCGAGCGCUACCUCCCAACCAUUAACUUAAUCAAUCCCUCCACCCGAACCAUCCAAGUGAGCAAAACGCAGCGGCAAGAGACCGUCAAGCUUGCCAUGGAAAGCGGUGAGCAAGUCCCCGACACCUUUGAGGACAUUAACCUCAACUGGCGUUACGUGGUCGAAACAUUCCGUGACGGCAGCGUAGAACAUCGCUUUGAGCUAACGUUCCAAAAGAAACACAAAGAAAAAGUCAUGAGCUCCUACUUACCCUAUGUGGUUGGUCGGGCCGAAGCCAUUAAAAAAGAGGAAAAGAUUCUCAAACUUUCUAACCUUACCAACUCAUCAGUGGAUUUGGAGCACCCAGCUACGUUCGAGACGAUCGCCAUGGAGCCCGACCUGAAGAUAAAGAUUAUGAAGGACUUGGACAGGUUUGUGGCCAGGAGGGAGUUUUAUAAGAAGGUGGGCAAGGCUUGGAAAAGAGGCUACUUGUUGUAUGGCCCUCCUGGUACUGGAAAAUCCAGCCUGAUUGCGGCCAUGGCUAAUCAUCUCAAGUUUGAUGUGUUUGAUUUGGAGCUUGCUAGUAUUCGCAGCGACUCUCAUUUGAAGAGCGUGGUUCUGUCCACUACAAAUCGUUCCAUUUUGGUGAUUGAGGAUAUUGAUUGCUCCGUCCAUAGUAAAGAUAACCGGGUCAGCACCAACUUUUUUUUUUUUCUUCCUUUUUCUUUUUUUGUGAAUUUUAAUUUUUCUUUAAAUGCACCUCUUAAUUGUGUAUUUGGUAAUUAAAUAAUAAAAAUAUUAUUUACAUUCAGUGUUAUGUUGAUUUUGCAGUUCACACUCUCAGGCCUACUAAACUUCAUGGAUGGUCUUUGGUCAAGUUGUGGUGAUGAGAGAGUUAUUGUGUUCACCACAAACCACAAGGAUCGUCUCGACCCUGUAUUGCUGCGUCCUGGUCGAAUGGACGUCCACAUUCACAUGUCUUAUUGCACACCGAGUGCGUUUAGGAUUUUGGCCUCCAACUACCUUGGAAUUCAAGACUUCGACAGCCAUCGGCUUAAGGGAGAAAUCGUAGGGUUGCUAGAGAGCACAAAGGUCACCCCUGCUGACAUUUGUGAAGAUUUCUUGAAGGAAAAUGACGAUGAUGUUGAUGUUGAUGAUGAUGAUGUUGAUGCUGCUCUUGAAAGAGUUGUCAA
rnacentral:lncRNA from 1 species